GAAACCAACAGGGAUUGCCUCAGUAACGGCGAGUGAAGCGGCAAAAGCUCAAAUUUGAAACCCUCGGGAUUGUAAUUUGAAGAUUUGGCAUUGGAGAAAGCUAACCCAAGUUGCUUGGAAUAGUACGUCAUAGAGGGUGACAACCCCGUCUGGCUAACCGUUCUCCAUGUAUUGCCUUAUCAAAGAGUCGAGUUGUUUGGGAAUGCAGCUCAAAGUGGGUGGUAAACUCCAUCUAAAGCUAAAUACUGGUGAGAGACCGAUAGCGAACAAGUACUGUGAAGGAAAGGUGAAAAGAACUUUGAAAAGAGAGUGAAAUAGUAUGUGAAAUUGUUGAUAGGGAAGGAAAUGAGUGGAGAGUGGCCGAGGUUUCAGCCGCCCCUCGUGGGCGGUGUACUGCCGACGCCGAGUCAUCGAUAGCGAGACGAGGGUUACAAAUGGGAGCGCCUUCGGGCGUUCUCCCCUAACCCUCCACACUG
rnacentral:rRNA from 1 species